rnacentral:rRNA from 1 species
AUUGAACGCUGGCGGCAUGCCUUACACAUGCAAGUCGAACGGUAACAGGUCUUCGGAUGCUGACGAGUGGCGAACGGGUGAGUAAUACAUCGGAACGUGCCCGAUCGUGGGGGAUAACGAGGCGAAAGCUUUGCUAAUACCGCAUACGAUCUACGGAUGAAAGCGGGGGAUCUUCGGACCUCGCGCGGACGGAGCGGCCGAUGCCAGAUUAGGUAGUUGGUGGGAUAAAAGCUUACCAAGCCGACGAUCUGUAGCUGGUCUGAGAGGAUGAUCAGCCACACUGGGACUGAGACACGGCCCAGACUCCUACGGGAGGCAGCAGUGGGGAAUUUUGGACAAUGGGCGAAAGCCUGAUCCAGCCAUGCCGCGUGCAGGAUGAAGGCCUUCGGGUUGUAAACUGCUUUUGUACGGAACGAAAAGCCUCUUUCUAAUAAAGAGGGGUCAUGACGGUACCGUAAGAAUAAGCACCGGCUAACUACGUG